rfam:Schistosoma rodhaini strain Burundi genome assembly, scaffold: SROB_scaffold0000975
AUCCAGCUGUCGAGUCUCAAAUAGGACGAAAUAAGCGUCAAACUGGAU